CCUAUCCCUCAGUCAGCCAUUAGCCAGAGUCACGUUACUUUUAGGUCUUUUCGUCGGGUAUCAGAUGUACUGGAGUUCGACGUAGACGGUCUUUUCGGUAUCACUGGAAAGAAUAAUUUCUACAGUGUCUCGUAGAACUAUAUCUUAUCCGUGUCCGUAUCGUUCCCUGUUACCGACGGUUUCCCAGCCUAUGUGCAGUUAAAGGGGUACUUUGUUACAUGGAGAUCACGACAACACUUAGAAUGUCACAUUCAGGACAUCUGCUGGUCUUAUACCAACCGUACAAGCCAGUUACCAUGAACACUCUGUCUAGAUGGGUUCAUUGGUUGUUAUCGCUAGCGAGGGUGGAGACGUGUUUGGGUACUCAUUCGGUAAGAGGCGCGGCUGCUUCUCAGGCCUUCGCGAGGGGCCUCUAUAUUUUCAGCGAUGAAUUGGACACGGAUAGACUACUUCCGUAUAUUUAUUUUCGUCAACCACACACGCAUCCUUCUCGCUCAUACCACAGCUUUAAAAAUGCAAAAUAUGAAGCCUCCUGUCAUGUGAUAAAA